UCAGCGGGUAUUCCUGCCUAAUCUAAAGUCAAGUUUAGAAGAUUAAGGGCUUUAUAGAUGCUAAAUCUGUAUAAGCUCUAGGAAGCGCGAAUAGUACUGCGCGAUUAGGAGGCCUAGUAGAACAACUGCUAAUAACUUUAAGGCAAGUCUACACGAUAGAUGCUAAAGAACAAGCGCCUAACACUAAGCAACGCUUAAAGGGGGUGUAUGUAACGCUUAAACAGGCAUGCCCUAUAGAAUACUAAGGGGCGCAAUGUGCGUUCAAAGAUUUAAUAAUUUACUAAAUUCUGUAAUUUACACUACUUAUCGCAUUUUGCUGCGUUCUUCAUCGAUGCCAGAACCA
rnacentral:misc_RNA from 1 species